UAGACUGCAUAGUUUAGAAGACCAUUGCUUCUAGAUCUACUAGUUAGACUGCAUAGUUUAGAAGACCACAGUCUAACUAGUAGAUCUAGACAAUGGUCUUCUAAACUAUGCAGUCUA
rnacentral:pre_miRNA from 1 species